UACGUAGGGUGCGAGCGUUAAUCGGAAUUACUGGGCGUAAAGCGUGCGCAGGCGGUUUUGUAAGCCAGAUGUGAAAUCCCCGGGCUUAACCUGGGAAUGGCAUUUGGGACUGCAAGGCUGGAGUGCGGCAGAGGAGACUGGAAUUCCUGGUGUAGCAGUGAAAUGCGUAGAUAUCAGGAGGAAUACCGAUGGCGAAGGCGGCCAUCUGGAUCAACACUGACGCUGAGGCACGAAAGCGUGGGGAGCAAACAGG
rnacentral:rRNA from 1 species